AGCAACAAUUGAUUCAAUGAAUUAAUAACACACAACCUUCCUUUAGCUUAACCUUCAUUAAUGGAGGUUGAAUUUUUUAUGAAUAAUAAACACAUCUCCUCAUUAUCUAACAAUUAUAUUGCACAUAAUCAGGAACUAACAAAGUUACAGAUUUUUGUUUUUACAAUUUCAUACUCACAAAUAAUGUGAGUUUUUAACAAAAAUAAAUAAAUUAGAUUAAUCAUCAAUUCUUCCUCCAUGCUCACUGUUCUCUUCUCUGCCCACUGCAACACAUUAGAGCAUGAUGGCGAUGGUGACGACAACAAACAGAUUGACGGUGGUGUCGACAUCGACCCAGCUAUUGCCGACAAACUUUUCCUCAUCAAUUUCUUUUCGGCACCACCCAUUUCAGGCCAAACACCACAAUCACCUACUUGGAACACAAAACACCAUGUUCAUGUCCAGGUCCACGCCCAAAUUUAUGGUUGUCACACUUUUUAUUUACCCAGUUGUUGUCAAUUUGGAUGGAGGGUGAAAAAAAUUAUUGUCAAAUAUUAUCAAAUUGUUGUAAAUUUAAUGUCAAUUUGGUUGGAUUGUUGCAACCGUUGAAGGAGGGGCUUAUGGAGAGGGUGGGAUGGCGGUAAACAAUUUGGGGGUGGG
rnacentral:lncRNA from 1 species